rnacentral:rRNA from 1 species
CAGGACGAACGCUGGCGGCGUGCUUAACGACAUAGCAAGUCGAACGAGGAUUAUGUUGGAAGGGGCUUCGGACCUGGAAGGCGUAAUUCGAGUGGCGGACGGGUGAGUAACGCGUGAGCAAUCUGUCCCGGACAGGGGAAUAACGACUUGGAAACAGGUGCUAAUACCGCAUAAGACCACGCCCUCGCAUGGGGGAGGGGUAAAAGGAGGAAUCCGGUUCGGGGUGAGUUCGCGUCCGAUUAGAUAGUUGGUGAGGUAACGGCCCACCAAGUCGACGAUCGGUAGCCGACCUGAGAGGGUGAUCGGCCACAUUGGGAACUGAGAGACGGUCCAAACUCCUACGGGAGGCAGCAGUGGGGAAUAUUGGGCAAUGGGCCGAAAGCCUGACCCAGCAACGCCGCGUGAGUGAAGAAGGCUUUCGGGUUGUAAAGCUCUGUUAUAGGGGACGAAGGAAGUGACGGUACCCUAUAAGGAAGCCCCGGCUAACUACGUGCCAGCCGCCGC